UGGGAUUAGUCACUACCUUGCAACCUUUUGGGUUUUAAGCAUCGUUAUAUUCUAAACAGUUAACACUACCAUAUGAUCUCUACUAUAGAGAUAAUCAAUUAGAUUACAAUAAUCUAAUCAUUCAUUAAUAAAGAACAAUGUUUUGUCAAACAAAACAUUCAUCCAUUUCUCAUAUGGAAUUAAGUUCCUUUAUUCAAAUUGGAAUGUAAAAACAAUCUUUGUUUUUCCAUUUUCUUUGGUAGUUCAUAUGAGGAAGUAAGUACUACCUGCUUUUGCAGAGAUCUAUAUUUAAUUCACGUUUCGAAUGUGAAGUACUUUAUCUUCUCUCAUUAAUCUUCUACUUCUUAUUAGCCACGCUUUUACAACGAUUGUAAAACAUAGUUACUAAUACGGAAUCAAACAUUCAAGUAAAAGAACCAACUAUUUUGAACUUUUCAAGAACAAUUUACAACACCUUCGAAAGGUGUGUUCUUGACACUUGCAAGACAUUUCUUGCAAAUACCCCUUCCAAUGUCUAUCCUUUCAUAAAGAAAGUUUGUUCCCUUGCAGUUAUUUCGCCUUCUUCAUUUGACUUCUCCUUUGACUACAAUAGUCAUGGUCUCUAAACUCCCACUAUCUCUCUUGAAACUUAUUUCAAUUGUGUUAUAUACAUCAAGCAAUUUGGAGAGCGUGUGGUUAUUUGUUCACUAUAUAGUUUACAAUAAACUUAGUGAACCAUUUGGAUAGGGACACAAAAGUGAAGUCCUUGCCUAGUUUCCGUCUCUAGAAGUGGUUUAACACUUCAACACUCAAUGAUUCAAAAUCAUCAUAAAUCCAUGUUGAUGGACUAUUUUUGUCAACCAACCAUUAUGUUCUAAACACAAUUACAAACUUUGAAGAGUUGUUCAAGGCAACUCUCAUUUCUUCAUACAACAAUUUGUAAGUAAAGAAUCAUGGCACAUAAAGUGUCCAUGCCCUUGUGCUUACUUCUCAAGUUCCUUGUUCAUGUAACAAAGAAACGGGUACUAAUGUUUGCGUUAACUAAGGGUUGUUCAAAGCAACUCUUACUUCUUCAUACAACAAUUUGUAAUUGAAGAAUUAUGACAUUAAAAGUGUUGUCCUCUUUAUGAUAGACUUAUCUAACAUGUUCUUCCAAUGAUACAUUAUCAAUAGGAAGAUUGCAAGGAUGAGACUACUUAGGUACAUAUACAAGCCAUUAUAGACAAUCUAUGGGAUUGUAGUACCAAGUCCGGAAACUACUUAUCUAACAUGUUCUUUGUCAAGUUUUGGAUAACGUUUGCAAAUAUAUUGGUAAAUAAAUACAUAACGAAUAUAAAUUGAUUGAUUUUAAGCCAUUUGAUUCGGGUCUUUAAAUCAAAUAGCAUCACCCACUAUUUUUGGCAAAUUCCAUAUCCCUCAUCGGAAUUCGAGAGUUUUGGAGGAAACUCUUAGUAGGGUAUGGGAGACUCAUCAUUACCAAGCCCACCUCACAAUGAUAUGAUAUUGGCUAACAUCAAUAAUAAUGAGAGAGUACGCUUACUCAUUUGCAUCUCUUGCAAGUACCCAUCUUAUUUGGCCUCUAGAGAAUGAAGCCUCACAAUGAUAUGAUGUUGGCUCCAUUGCACUUAGUUAAGUCAUUCCCACCAUACAAGUUCGAGUAGGGGUUCAAGAACAACCUCACAAUGAUAUGAUGUUGAUCAUUCUCGUUGCCUACCUUCACAACAUCAUGUAUGCAUAUAGAACUCCUCCUGAGUGUAAGCACACACUUUGUACUCCCCCAUGAUAGGGUGAAGUCGGUGUACGAGUCACAAAUGAUCGGAGCCUACCCCGAUGGAAGGCCACGAAAGAGUGUUCAAAGCACUCUCACGCUUAUCAACUUAAUAAUGGUUUGGUGAAGGGUUUUAGGUCUCAUCACAUAUAAGCAUGCAUUUUAAUCUAAUUAAAACAAUUUGGUCCUAUUACAACUAUUGGUCCAUGUGAUUGAUUUAGUAGUAUAUAAUACUCCCACUAAGCUUGUAAAACGGUUUUAAAGCAAGAGUAUAUGGUACUACUAACAUAAGGUUCGCAUUCAUUGAUGGACUAUAUGUUGACUUAGGGCCUUAGGAUGACUAUGAACCUUUGAUUAGAUCCAACACGAGCCUAGUGUUGAAUCUCGGUCUAGGGAUGGUGAUUGAUUUUAGUUACGCGUUUAAUCAUAUUAAGGCGUGUUUUUCUUAUUGGGUGUUGGACCCAACUACUCCAAUUGCAUGCAUAUCAAAUAAAACAAGAAAAGAGUACUUCAAAGUAAAGAAGAGCUUAUGCUCUUUUACAACAUUUGAUCAUAUCAAAUUACAACCAAAAUCUAAUCUACACAUUCCCAUGGUUCAAACAAAUUUGAGACAUCCUUUCACAUAGCUCAAUUAUCGUAGGCUUAGGUUCAUAAUCACCAUUUCUUUAAUUAAUUAACGCUUUAACUAAUUAAACUUGAAUGCAACAUUUUCAUUUGGUUUUUUUUUUUUUGGUCAAUAAUUUUCAUUUGGUUUUUGUUUCCAUAGAAUUGAUUUAAAUAGAGCUAAAUGAAAUGAAAAUCCAAUUCUCAUUUAAAGAUACAAAACUAUUUUGUUCUCAACUAAUUUGGGCCAAAUUCUAUAACCUCAACUUUUUGGGCUAUGUUGCAAAACACAAACUUUUGAGGUCACUUUGUAAGAACACAAAAGUCCACUACUUCAUGUAAUUACAACUAGAACCCAAAAAUUUCAUCAAAUACAAAAACUUCAUUAAAGGAGCAAAACAAUUUGUCCCUUAGUGAUUUUGGGCCUUUACGUAAAAACGUAAACUUUCGGAUCAAAGUACAAAUACACAAAAGUAUCAAAACUUUAUGUAAUUGCAUAAAAGCCUCAAAAGUACCCUACAUGUAGGGUGGGCGGUCAUGGUAGUGUGAGGGGGUGGUUUUUGAUAAAAAAAACAAAAUCAUAAAGUCAUGCAAGUUGAAAAGGAUGGGUGAUGGGUUGGUGUGAAAAAGUAGGUAUAGGUGUGUAAGAAAAAAAAGUACCAGUCAUGUACAAAAAAUUCAAACACUCUAUCAACAUUUAAAUCACAUUUUUCAAAUAAAUGUCUUGUUGAUAGAAAAGUCACACCAACCAACACAAAACAAAGACUUUAUGUAAUCAACCAAAAACUUUGAAUCAAAAACACCAAACUUUUUGUUCUUGGUAAGAACAUCAGGAACAUUGAAGAACACACAGGAAAACUUAUAAGAGCUUCAUGAAUGUUUUCACUCAAUAAAAUUCAAAAUUUCACUACUCAAAAGAGGGUUAACAUUCUAGGGUACUUAGGGGUUCCAAAAGUCACCUUAAAACACUUUUAACAAGACAAACAAGAACCCAAAAAUCCACCCUUUGUAUUUGGCCGAAUUUCCCCAAAAACAUGGCACCAAAUUUUAGCUUCAAAAUUCAUGCUCAUAUGAACUACAUCUACAACAUUUGAGAUAGCAAAUUUUCUAACAAAAUUUACAUUCAAAGAAGCAAGAAUAAAGCUUGUAACAAUUACAACAUUCAAAUCAAAG
rnacentral:lncRNA from 1 species